AGUUCAGAGUCACCGCUCUGUGCUUCCCAUGGCCUUGAGAAGUCGGCUUCCAGGACGGGGGUGAUGAUGGCUGACUUGGCAAGGGGCUGGGAGGUUCUGCUCGACCCUUCACAAACAGACUGGAGCUGAGGUCACAGACAGACUGCGCAGGUACCAGCGUCCUUGAUUUUCUAGCUUCAAAGUGUACGGCCUCUGAAGUAGGGGGACAGUCACACCUGCCUUGCUGCCGUUGAUUUCUGCCUUCCUGGCUGCAGACUCAACAAGACAACAAUGAGUCUGUUGACAUUUUCAAGGCCACAUUCAUAAACCAGCCAUGGGAAGCCUCUCUCCCCCUUUCUUUCAAAGUGAACAUGAAAACGUUGUGUACCCAGUAAGAAUUCAGCAACGAACUCAACUCAGAGAUUGGAUCUUAAGUUCAGAUGCUUUAUGAAUCAGACACUAGCAGAUGACUGGUUUCUGGCCCCUGAAGCCUGCCCGAGAAGUGGACUACGUAUUACCCAGAAGCCUCUGGAACCUGUCAAGGAUGCUCUUCUGCUGUUAUUAUCAGCUCUAUCCACCGCACUUUCCUUCUCCAGGCAAAAGCAGGUGCUGGUCGUGGUGAGCCAGGUGUGUCAGACUCAAAGACAAGUGUCAUAUGUUUGCUCUCAUAUGUGGAAGCUAGAGAGAAAAAAGGGAAAAGAAAGAGUUCUCACAAAAAUAGAAAGAAGACUGUUAGGGCAAAAGAAGAGGAUCAGGGCAGGGAGGAGAGAUACAGGACAGGGGACUGAAAUUAAUUAAAUUGUUACAUGCAUAUAUGAAUAUGCCACAAUAAAACCCACUAUCCUGUAUAAUUAAUAUGCACCAAUAAAAUGUUUAAUAUAAACAUUUAUAUAUCAAUGUG